AAAUACGCUCAAGCAUACGCUGCGUCAAUGGGUUUUGGUAAAGAAGAAUAGAGGGGUUCGUCCUCGGAACGUCAAGGACAAUUUGUCGCCAAAUAGUUUGAUCCAAAGGUGGUGGCUCUGUAUUUGUAUUAAAGCAGGAAUCUUUUGCUGCGUUAUAUUCGUCUCUCUUUCGCUUUAAAGUGACUUCACGACGAGAAGCAUUACAAGGUAAAUAUCCUAACAAGUAUUUCCAGACAAUAGGUCUAUGUUCGGAGGGAAUUCCAUUCCAAGCCAAUGUACGAAGCGCAUUUAAAUCCACAAUUGGAGCAUCAAGAAUUCGCGAAAACUUCUUGAUCCGAGAGACAAGCGCAUUGCUUUCAGCAACCUCAACUUCUACAGAACGAUGGGCUAGUUUAGCGGGUAAAGGAAAACGACCAGACGAAUGAAGCUUUUGUCUAGAAGUGGUAGUAUCCACGCCAUUUUGAGGAAAUAAGGAGCGGCUUGAAGAAUUUGGAGUAGUACUUCGAGCCAUACGAGGAAGAGAUUUUGAGGCUUUAAUAUUCGAAACUCCCCAAUCGUCAUCUGUCUGUGACAAAUAUUUGGCAAACUUUGCAGACACUUUUUUGCCUACAACAGCUUCCAAGGAAAGAGAAGAUCUCGCAGAAGGUGCAUAGAUUUUAGACUCACUAGCAGAUUCGGGUCUAGUUAUGGACCGGGCCAAAGAGAUAUGAUCUUUUGGGGGUUGAUCUGAGUAAACAGAGUCGUCCAAUCUGAACGGUUGAGCUUUGGAAGAAGUGCUUCGACCACGAUGGUGAUGGGUCCGGCUUCGAUCCAAAACAGUAACUGGAUCCGAAGUGGCGCUAGAGGAUCCAUUCCAUAAGCUGGAGAGAGUUUUUAAGGCGGACGACUUUUUUGACUGAGAUUCCAUAGUGGAAAAUCUUAAAAUACGAGAAGAAAAAUUGUUUUUACAAAAUGAAGCAGUAAUUUGAUAGCCUUGAUGGACACAACAAAUUUAGCAAAUAACAGAUACUCUUUGAAUUUAUCGCCAAAAUAAAAUACUUUUGGUUAAGAUGCAAAAAACAGUUUCAAAAUUUGCUGUAAAAAGUAGAUGAAACGUUUUAGAAGGCAAUAACUUCAAAUGUUUAACGACGAAGGAUCUUAGGCACCACUCAUAGACUUACCGGACUUGAAGUCUUAUUCUUUUCUUAUCAAAUGAAAACUAUUUUCAAAAAAAAAAAACUUAAGCUAUUAGAAGCAAAGCCGUGUCUGUGGGUUCCAUCCAAACGAAAACGCACCAGCUCGAGAUCUUGUGAUCUAUUAGAACAGCGCGGAAUUUGAACACGAACAAAUGUUUCGAGAAAACCUUAGAUACAAUCCAAUACACUAGUAUAUUUACAAAUUUUAACCGAAUAUCAACGAAAUUGUGAAGAUUUACUCGGUCUGUGCAGUUGCCAAGGCAGUUGCCCUUAUUUGGUGGAAGAACAAAACAAUAGGGAGGAAAACAGUAGGUGUAUGGAGUUUCUUAUAUAUGAGGUUUUUUUAAUAAAAGGAGCAAGGUUUAAUACUUUAAUUAUUUAUCUCACUUUUUAGUUAAAGGAAAUUCGUUUUAAGCCAUGAACAGUUGAUAGAAGGAUUUUGGCCGUGCAUGGUCUUAUUGCUUGGGAAUGUUGGGUUUAUAUGCGCAGAGUAGUAAAAGAUACACAGCUAGGUCUCAUUUAACAAUGUUUAUAUCUAUGAGUUCUAUCUCUUCUUUACUUAAGUUGCUGCCAGUAAAAGUGAACAAUGUAAUUUUGACAAUUGUGACUAGUCGCUUUUCAAAACAAAAAAGAGAAAAGUAUAAACGUUGAUUAAGAAACGUAAAAAAGUAUUUCCUGUCAAUAAUGAAUCUCUGAUUUUAUUGUUAUUUUUCGUAUUGAC